UUUAAACUGUUCAUACAUAUGGCUGAGGUACCUCUGAAGAGUUUUAAUUUGAAUAGAGUCAAAUAGAGCAGAUCUUUACUGUCAUUGCAGUGAAGAUAGCGCUGCGCCUGACACAAAGGUACACCAGAACCGGAGGGGGAAGAGGUAGAAAAAAGAAACUUUCAGACAGACAAGUGAGGCAUCUUAAAAUGCCAUUUCAGCCUCAGGAACAGGUGACUUAGUGAAAACUGAUGGCAUCAUGGAUACGAAAGUAGACUACAACCUUCUGGUGAGGCACAGGUGAAGAAGAAGCUAACAAGUCUUUUUGGAAUUAGGUGAAUCUUUGGACAUGUCAUCAGGAUCCGACAGUUCUGUGUGCUCUAAAUCAAAACAAGUGCCUCAGAUUCGCAGCUUCUCGCCAGCCAGCCAGCAGCCAGCCAGCACUCACUCUCUUCAGCCAUUCCACCUGCUGCUUUAAUAAACUCUGUUAACC